AGUAAAAAAUAAGUUAAAGAAAAGCAUGGAAAGGAAGAGAAUAGGUUAAUUAUUUAUACAAUUUAAUCAAAUGUCAAUGUAGCAGCUUUUAUAGCAGCUACCUGUAUGUUAGGCUCAAACUUCAUGCUUUCAAAUCCUCUUCAAUCUGAUAAGCAUAGUCUUCUAUAUUUAAGACACAAAGCAUCCUACUCCAUUGCCAAGAAAUCCAUGACUGUUGCCAAUAUCUUUCUAUGGUGAACCUUCUAGAAAAAUAAAAUCUAGUAAAUUCUGUGCCUUAUUUGCUACACAACUAUAUUUAACAUUUUCUCAGGGACAAGAUAGUAUCCAAGAUGAUGACUGAGCAAAGAUAACUAUUAUACAUGGUAGUGCUGUGUGCUAGAGUGGGUUUUGAAUAUGAUGGUACAGUUGACUUUAGCUCUAUUAAAGUUGAAAAAAGUCAAUAUUUACCAUGUGUAAAAGAACUCUCCUAAAUUUAAAAAGCUGAAUAUCCAAUGAAAUAGGAUAACCAAUAUGAACAUAUUUUAAUAACUAGUAAAACUCGCUGACCAAAGGAUUCUUUCAAAUUAAUAAAUACACUAAGAUCCCCAACAGGGUGAACGUGAAGAAAAGAACAUAGAUAAUCUGUUCACAGAAUAGGUAAACACAAAUAAAUAACCAAUAAACGUAGAGAAGGAUGCUUUGCCUAUACAAACAAUCCCAUACAUAAAAAUUUACGCAAUUACAAGAUCUACCAGGUUUCAUGUUUUGCCCAGGAAAUUAGCUGAAAAGUAACAGGGGCCUACUCUAUACUCUAAAAAAAAGUGUGUUGAGACAGGCAUGCCCCUAUGCUAAUAACAUACACUGACACAUUUUUCUGGAAAGAAAGUUGAAAAUAUAUGUCAACUGACUUAUAAAAUAUGGAUGUCAUUAAUCCAAUGUUUCUAUUUACAGAUACAACUUCUACAGAAAUAAACAGAGGUAUGGACAAGGAUUUUUUACAAUGAUAUACAUCUCAGUCAUAAUUGUUAUGUAAGGGGAGUGAGUAUGUGAGGUAUGUAUAUAUUCAGAGAGAUCUUGUUUUUUCAUGCUCAGUAAAAGCCCUCUUAUCUGAUUGGAUUGGUAUUUAGUUAGUGGGAAAAAUGUUGGUUAAAGCAAAAAAAAAAAAAUUUUUUUUUAAUGACCCAUACAUUCUAUUUUAGUUAGGAUUCAUUUUUGCUGCAAGCAACAGAAACACAAAAUAACAGCAACCUAAACAAGAUAGAAGGUUAUUACUUUUUCAAGUGAAAAGUCUAGCAGUUGGUGAUCCAGAGUUAUUAUGGCCCCCCAAAACAUCCUGGGUGUAGAUGCCUUCUUUAUCUUCUUGUGUGGCCACCUAUGACCUUUAUUCCCAGUUUCAGUUCUAGCAAUCAUGCCUCCAUUGCAAAAGCAAAGAAGAAAAGGAGGAAAAUAAAGGUAUACUCAAACCCGUGACGUUUUCCUAGAGCUGCACACACCAUUCUCCUUUCAUUUCAUCCUCAGAAAUGCUGAGAUGGUAACACUUAGCUAGCUACAAGGCUAAUGGAAAACACUGACUACUUCAGGCAAUCAUGUGCCCAACUCAAAAUCAGAUUUUUUCAUAUUUAUCUUUUCCUCAGACUAUAACUUAUCCGUGUGCACCACCCUGAACAGAGCUUUGCAUACAUUAGGUUUUCAGUAACCGACUGAAUGGCUAAUGCAGACACUAGACAAUGUCCCCUUCACAUGAAGUGACCUUUUGGUUCAACUUGAUAUAAACGUUCACAAAAUUUGAAAUUACUGAGCUCUGCCAUCAAGAAAAAUACUCUCUAAUACCUGAUCGAAUAUCAGUGGACAGUUAAUAUUGUAAAUGCUACUGGGCCCAGACACACUGACAAAUCCAGGUAAUCAGGAUUAAAUUACAUCUGCAAAGCAGGUAGCAAAUCAUAGUACUCAGAUUCCUAGUAUGCCAUGGCAUGAUGAGAAUUCUAGGAGGCCUUGGGUUCACUAGAAUAUUGACUUAAAUUUAGAAUAUAUGGACUAUCAACCUAUUUGAUUGCCCUAAGGGAUAGCUUAAGUCUAAGAAGUGCCUGGUGAUGCUCUCUGUUCCCUGGAAUAUACAUCAAAGGGCCAUUUAAAAGACUGUAAAAUCUUACCCAGAUUAUAUCGACCUGCUAAUUUGGUAUCUUCUUUUCUCUCCUGCCUCAAGCAAUUUACCCUUAUUCUUUUUCAACCCAUAAGAGGAUCUGUGUAUUCUACAUUCUUCAAGACCUGGAAGCUUAUCUAUACAUAUAGAUAAGAUCUCAUAAAGCGUAAGGCGGUGUAACCUAAGGUGCUGGAGGAAGGAGUCAGUAGAUACCUUAGAAUGGCCCCUUUCAUCCUGAUCACAAGGCGUGGGACAUUAACAUGGAUCUAUGCUCUUCUCCAGCAGCUGGACCCAGGGUAACUUCUGAGAAAUGCUGACCUCUGCACUGACUUUAUGCAGAGAUGAAAGAAAUGUGUGUGCGUCUUAAAAGCAGUGAUUAAAGAUUUGUCGGACUUUC